CCAAUAUUUCGUCCAAGCUGAACUUCUCACCGCAUGGGAUUCUCAUUUGUUUACACAAACUGUACCAAUCGGCUACUAAGCCAUUACGGUACUCGAUCGUAAAGACACCAAGGAUCUAUAAUGCUGGUGGAUUGGUUAUGUGUCCUUAAAACAUAAAACAGAGACGAUUGUGUCUAUGACAACCGUUGUUGGGAUUGCAACAAAGGGUGGAGCCCUUCAAGAAGUCACUGAAUUCAUGUUUCUCAACGAAACAAGUCGUUUUCUAGAAAUAUUGAGAUGAAAUUGAAGUUUGAGGGGAUGUAGGUUUUUAAUAAUUUUCCACGUGACGUUUAACGCUAGUUAGAGAGUGUAUUUGUAUGAGACAAAUUUUCUUAUAGAAAUACAGCAGGUACGGUGAACUGUAUAUGAAAAUAUAAUCAUUAAUCUGUUAUAAAUACUUUGGCAUCUGUUUCGGAAGCUUCUUCGAUAAAUCACUUGUUAUUAUAAAAUUACAAAUAAAUAAAUAUGUAAAAGUAUUGAGCAAUACUAACUCCAAAUUUCUCGAUAAAGUUUUAGCACCCAUUGUAAAAUCACGUAUGUUCUUAGUAAAAAAAAAAAAAAAAAAAAAA